rnacentral:tRNA from 1 species
GCGCUCGUAGCUCAGCUGGUAGAGCUGCUGACUCUUAAUCAGCAUGUCGGGGGUUCGAGUCCCUCCGGGCGUA